rnacentral:rRNA from 1 species
GAUGAACGCUGACAGAAUGCUUAACACAUGCAAGUCUACUUGAAUUUGGGUUUUUUAACUUAGAUUUGGGUGGCGGACGGGUGAGUAACGCGUAAAGAACUUGCCUCACAGCUAGGGACAACAUUUGGAAACGAAUGCUAAUACCUGAUAUUAUGAUUAUAAGGCAUCUUAGAAUUAUGAAAGCUAUAUGCGCUGUGAGAGAGCUUUGCGUCCCAUUAGCUAGUUGGAGAGGUAACGGCUCACCAAGGCGAUGAUGGGUAGCCGGCCUGAGAGGGUGAACGGCCACAAGGGGACUGAGACACGGCCCUUACGCCUACGGGAGGCAGCAGUGGGGAAUAUUGGACAAUGGACCAAGAGUCUGAUCCAGCAAUUCUGUGUGCACGAUGACGUUUUUCGGAAUGUAAAGUGCUUUCAGUUGGGAAGAAAAAAAUGACGGUACCAAAAGAAGAAGUGACGGCUAAAUACGUG